GAAAGGCAGAGGAAGUUGAUCUUCUUCACAUAGAGCUAUAAGUAACUUAGACACUAUGGUGACACUCAUUGGGAAAAGCAAUCUGAGGGGCCCAGUUUCCUACUUGGAUUCCCACACAGCAGAGCGCUGUAUCUGGAGGAUGACCCAGCAGUGUAUCCUGUAGGACAGGCUCAACAUAACUUGCUGCUGAGAUGCAUCUUCUCUGCACUGUGAGAAAUGAGCCUUUCUCUGCAGUUUAAGUCACAGCGGUAAAUAAGCAGUGAAAAAAGGACCCCGAGUCAAACCUUUUCCUGGGCUGGGUGCUUGCAGCACUGCUGGUGUAACGUUAACAUUACGUGGCUUUAUAAUGAACAUGUGCAUAGUUGGAUUUAACGGCCAGUGGUUCGGCUGAGCAAACAUUUAGAGGGAACGAGAGGAGGAAAAACAUGUAUUUUCUUUAGCCAAUACAAAGGAUGACUAAUUACAUCAGGAACAGCUGCGGUGCCCCUGAAAGGACAGAAGACCAGCUGAUUUCUGCCACGCUUCCCCAGCCAACUGGCAACACCUGAGCACUGCAAGUGGAAUUUAAUCUCCCAGAUGGAAAGCAAAUCAAUCUGCCCAUCGCUGCAGCUGAGGUGUACUUUGGCUCAACUUUAAUUUAUUCUCCGAAGCCGAAGGAAGCUGGUCAUUUCAAGGGGGGAAAAAGGACUUCAGGAAGGAAGGAUUCAAAGAGGCAGAUGAGCUGCAGUGUGAUUAUGAAUUCUUCCCCUUCAAUGGGGAAAAGAGAGAGACCCCAGAUUUGCAUUUUUGCUUACUUCCUCUCAGGGGCAAAGUAACGCUUCUGUCAGCAGCUAAUUGCAUCUGAAAGCCAGCCCGGCAACCUGACCAUGACUGCGGUGGGGUAAUUAUACCUGCUCAGCUAAUCAUAGUGGCUGACAACUUAGGAUGAAAAAAGCUUUGGCAGGAUGAUAGCCUACAGAAUUAGAGGGAACUGCUAAAGUACCGCAAUCUUUGAUUCACCCAAAGGACAGUAUUACAGCGAAUUACCUACAGGAGGAAAAGUCAGCGGAGUAGAAGCAGAAGAGCAGUGGAAAGCAAGA
rnacentral:lncRNA from 1 species